UUGCACGCUGGCGGCAGGCCUAACCCAUGCCCGUCGAGCGGAUGAAGGGAGCUUGCUCCUGGAUUCAGCGGCGGACGGGUGAGUAAUGCCUAGGAAUCUGCCUGGUAGUGGGGGAUAACGUCCGGAAACGGGCGCUAAUACCGCAUACGUCCUGAGGGAGAAAGUGGGGGAUCUUCGGACCUCACGCUAUCAGAUGAGCCUAGGUCGGAUUAGCUAGUUGGUGGGGUAAAGGCCUACCAAGGCGACGAUCCGUAACUGGUCUGAGAGGAUGAUCAGUCACACUGGAACUGAGACACGGUCCAGACUCCUACGGGAGGCAGCAGUGGGGAAUAUUGGACAAUGGGCGAAAGCCUGAUCCAGCCAUGCCGCGUGUGUGAAGAAGGUCUUCGGAUUGUAAAGCACUUUAAGUUGGGAGGAAGGGCAGUAAGUUAAUACCUUGCUGUUUUGACGUUACCAACAGAAUAAGCACCGGCUAACUUCGUG
rnacentral:rRNA from 1 species